rnacentral:tRNA from 1 species
UGUGUUUGUAGCUUAAUUUAGGAUAAAGCAUUAAACUACGGAUUUAAAGAAUGAAAGUUCGAUUCUUUCCAAACACGU